rnacentral:rRNA from 1 species
ACACGCAUGACACACUGCAUAUCAAUAAGCGGAGGAAAAGAAACUAACAAGGAUUCCCCUAGUAACGGCGAGUGAAGCGGGAAGAGCUCAAAUUUGAAAUCUUAAAGGGUUUCCCUUUACGAAUUGUAGUUUAAAGAAGUGUUUUCUGUUGGAGUUUCGGUAAAAGUUCUUUGGAAUAGGACAUCAUAGAGGGUGAGAAUCCCGUAUUUGGUCAUUCCUCCUAGCGUUGUGAUACACUUUCAACGAGUCGGAUUGUUUGGGAAUGCAGUCCAAAAUGGGUGGUAAAUUUCAUCUAAAGCUAAAUAUUGGCGAGAGACCGAUAGCGAACAAGUACCGUGAGGGAAAGAUGAAAAGAACUUUGAAAAGAGAGUUAAACAGUACGUGAAAUUGUCAAAAGGGAAGCGUUUGACACCAGUGUUGUUUUUCCGAAAAUCAAUUACGAAUGUUUUGUUUUUAAGAAGUUAUGACUUCAUCGGCUUGCUUCUUUCUUUACGAAACUUUCUUAAUGCACUUUUCGGUUAACAAGUCAACAUCAAUUUCUUUUGUUGUAAAAGGGUAUGAGGAAGGUGGCUUUCUUUUCGGAGAAAGUGUUUAUAGCCUUGUAGCCUCUGCAAUCGGAGAGAUUGAGGUCUGCAGCGUAGAUCCUUCGGGGUUAGAUACAGUUUGUGCUAAGUUAUAGCUUUUCAUAGACAACUUGUUGACUAUGUUUAGUCUUGUAGCUUACUCGCUUAUGCUAUUUUACCUACGCUUAGGAUGUUGAAUCUGUGCGAGACUAC